AAGAGAAGCGCCAGACCUUGAUAAACCAAGGUUAACGAGGACGGGAAUUAUCGAAAAUUCGGCGGAUAUUCCCGCGGCAGACGCAAACUGUCGCAGUUUGAACACAAAUAUACGGACAACCGUAAAACAAAAGA
rnacentral:ncRNA from 1 species